rnacentral:rRNA from 1 species
GUAGGUGGCAAGCGUUGUCCGGGAAUUAUUGGGGCGUAAAGCGCGCGCAGGCGGUUCUUUAAGUCUGAUGUGAAAGCCCACGGGCUCAACCGUGGAGGGUCAUUGGAAACUGGAGAACUUGAGUACAGAAGAGGAAAGCGGAAUUCCACGUGUAGCGGUGAAAUGCGUAGAGAUGUGGAGGAACACCAGUGGCGAAGGCGGCUUUCUGGUCUGCAACUGACGCUGAGGCGCGAAAGCGUGGGGAGCAAACAGGAUUAGAUACCCUGGUAGUCCACGCCGUAAACGAUGAGUGCUAAGUGUUAGGGGGUUUCCGCCCCUUAGUGCUGCAGCUAACGCAUUAAGCACUCCGCCUGGGGAGUACGGCCGCAAAGGCUGA